rnacentral:RNase_P_RNA from 1 species
GUGUUCGGGUAAUCGCUGCAUGUUUACAUGCAGAGGAAAGUCCAUGCUCGCACAGCCUGAGACGGCUGUAGUGACCGCGCCUGACGAAAUAAUAAGUCAGGGCAGCCUGAUAACGGCUGACGGCAGAAGAACUGCCUGCCUUCAUUUUUAUGGAAAUGGCAGAAGCUUCUUGAAAGUGCCACAGUGACGGAGCUUUUCUGGAAACGGAAAAGGUGGAACGAGGUAAACCCCGCGAGCGAGAAACCCAAAAUUAGGUAGGGGCACUCCUGAGAAGGAACGAAACGGAUCAGGAGGCAGGGGUUGUUAACCUCCUGCAGACAGAUGAUUGCCGCUUUUGUACGAGGGUGACUCCCGAUUGCAGUACGAAGUAACAGAACAUGGCUUACGGAA